GAUGAACGCUGGCGGCGUGCUUAACACAUGCAAGUCGAACGAAGCACUUUAUUUGAUUUCCUUCGGGACUGAUUAUUUUGUGACUGAGUGGCGGACGGGUGAGUAACGCGUGGGUAACCUGCCUUGUACAGGGGGAUAACAGUUGGAAACGGCUGCUAAUACCGCAUAAGCGCACAGCAUCGCAUGAUGCAGUGUGAAAAACUCCGGUGGUAUAAGAUGGACCCGCGUUGGAUUAGCUAGUUGGUGAGGUAGCGGCCCACCAAGGCGACGAUCCAUAGCCGACCGGAGAGGGGGACCGGCCACAUUGGGACUGAGGCACGGCCCAAACUCCGACGGGAGGCAGCAGUGGGGAAUAUUGCACAAUGGGCGAAAGCCUGAUGCAGCGACGCCGCGUGAGCGAAGAAGUAUGUCGGUAUGUAAAGCUCUAUCAGCAGGGAAGAUAAUGACGGUACCUGACUAAGAAGCACCGGCUAAAUACGUG
rnacentral:rRNA from 1 species